rnacentral:lncRNA from 1 species
AAAUUUAAGCAGAACAUAAACUUCUUUUUUCACUCAAUGUAAUUCAAAUUACACAUAAACUUCCAUUGUUGCAUACAUUUAGAAUGUUCCAUCUAAGUUCUACUCUUACAAACCCUUAAAACUAGAAAAUAAACACAACAACAAAUAACUACUCCUAUGAGAAACUUCAUAUGCUUCCUUAUGCUGUCAACAUUUUUCUUCAUCUCUUCAAUCUCUUUUGAACACAUAGUAGAAGCAAAUUCCUUUUCAAAUUCUUUCCCGAAAUCUUUGUCAAUUUUUUGCAAAUGCUUUAUCAUCAUGUCACACCGACUGCAUCCAUCUUCAUCUCUUGGACUUGUUUU